rnacentral:rRNA from 1 species
AGUCGAGGGGCAGCAUGGUCUUAGCUUGCUAAGGCCGAUGGCGACCGGCGCACGGGUGAGUAACACGUAUCCAACCUGCCGUCUACUCUUGGACAGCCUUCUGAAAGGAAGAUUAAUACAAGAUGGCAUCAUGAGUCCGCAUGUUCACAUGAUUAAAGGUAUUCCGGUAGACGAUGGGGAUGCGUUCCAUUAGAUAGUAGGCGGGGUAACGGCCCACCUAGUCUUCGAUGGAUAGGGGUUCUGAGAGGAAGGUCCCCCACAUUGGAACUGAGACACGGUCCAAACUCCUACGGGAGGCAGCAGUGAGGAAUAUUGGUCAAUGGGCGAGAGCCUGAACCAGCCAAGUAGCGUGAAGGAUGACUGCCCUAUGGGUUGUAAACUUCUUUUAUAAAGGAAUAAAGUCGGGUAUGGAUACCCGUUUGCAUGUACUUUAUGAAUAAGGAUCGGCUAACUCCGUGCCAGCAGCCGCGGUAAUACGGAGGAUCCGAGCGUUAUCCGGAUUUAUUGGGUUUAAAGGGAGCGUAGAUGGAUGUUUAAGUCAGUUGUGAAAGUUUGCGGCUCAACCGUAAAAUUGCAGUUGAUACUGGAUAUCUUGAGUGCAGUUGAGGCAGGCGGAAUUCGUGGUGUAGCGGUGAAAUGCUUAGAUAUCACGAAGAACUCCGAUUGCGAAGGCAGCCUGCUAAGCUGCAACUGACAUUGAGGCUCGAAAGUGUGGGUAUCAAACAGGAUUAGAUACCCUGGUAGUCCACACGGUAAACGAUGAAUACUCGCUGUUUG